rnacentral:lncRNA from 1 species
UUUGUGUUUGUGAUGCCUUAUCUCGUGUAUUUCAUGCCUUACAUUCGUACUUGAUUAUGUAAUAUCUCUAGUUUUGUUUUCUAUAGAGUUAUAAGUGAUUGUUUAGAAUUUGCUUAGCUUUCUCUCCAUUCUUAUCAUACACAUGAUUAAAAUUGAUCAUACAACUAUAAGUUAAUUUUAGAUCAAUUGCACCCUAAAGCCAUAGUAUAAUUGCUCUAGCUUAAUUUUCCACUACUUUACUUGUAAUUGCCUAGAGCUUAAGUAAAUAACAUCUUAUCAUUCCGCUGCAUUCAAUUCAAAGUAAAAAUUAGGGAACAUAAUUUUUAGAAAACCCAAUUCACCCCCCCUCUUGGGUUGUCACCUUGGGCAACAUCCUCCAUGAUCAACGCUUCCAGCAUCACAUGAAAUCAAGCAUCUAGCCGUCUCCCUCUGCCGGAUUUGAGCCAUUCCAACCGUCCGCGAUCCCAUGGAAUUGGUGAAUCCUUCUUCUUUCACUCCACAUUAAUCCCGCAGCCAGCUCCCAUCGGAUGAGCAUCCGAGAUUCGCAUCCUCACCAGCGUACUCCCAAGGGAUCCAUCAUCGGUGAGAGGGUCUAUAUGAAGAAGCCAUCGACAAAGAGAAGGGAGGAGGGGGGGCUCGNNNNNNNNNNNNNNNNNNNNNNNNNNNNNNNNNNNNNNNNNNNNNNNNNNNNNNNNNNNNNNNNNNNNNNNNNNNNNNNNNNNNNNNNNNNNNNNNNNNNNNNNNNNNNNNNNNNNNNNNNNNNNNNNNNNNNNNNNNNNNNNNNNNNNNNNNNNNNNNNNNNNNNNNNNNNNNNNNNNNNNNNNNNNNNNNNNNNNNNNNNNNNNNNNNNNNNNNNNNNNNNNNNNNNNNNNNNNNNNNNNNNNNNNNNNNNNNNNNNNNNNNNNNNNNNNNNNNNNNNNNNNNNNNNNNNNNNNNNNNNNNNNNNNNNNNNNNNNNNNNNNNNNNNNNNNNNNNNNNNNNNNNNNNAACCCAAGCAACUUAGGUGAGGUCAGAACCUCUAUACAUUGAGCAUUUCCUUAAUAGCUUUACGGCAGUGUUUUGGUUGGGAAGAUAAGCGGAACAAUGCCCUUGUUUAAUUGACAUUAACCCUCCAAACACUCUUUAGCAAAGCACAAAGAAUUUAAAAAGAUAUGCAAUGCAAUUUUUUUUAAUUUGAUCCCAGAUAAACUAUUCUAGACUGUAAGAUGGAUAGUGUACUUCUGAUUAAACUGGGUUAGGAGUUACCCAUUUACUCUAGGCUAACUUAGAUGGGCCAAGUAUUCAUCUAAUACCAACAAAACAUGAUAUAAAAUCUUAUUAAGUUUAUAGUUAACUUGUCUUGAAAUAAGGGACACGAUGGACAUGCUAUAAUUUUCUUUUUGUCAAAAUAUUUAUGAUAAGUAAAAAGUGCAUGCAUGUAGACAUACAUGUGCAUACAAGUAAAUUACAUACCUGAGGUGCUAACAACCUACGAGGGAGAAACUCUUCGUGGUGUCGUGCACAAAACUCCCAAGACAAAAUCUGAAAAAUAGACAGAAUAACUGAGUCGCUGAGCUAAGAUAGAUGCAUAUGAAAUAAUUACUACAUAAAGGUUGGAAAACAGAAUUGUAAAAUAUAAGCCUAUAGGCAACUGUUCAAUGCCAUGGGGAACAUAUUAGUUGCAUACUUUUAAUUCUUCUGUGAACAUGAUUCGGAGUUGCCCCUCAUGAACAACACGUAUAUGUUCAUAAACAGUCUCUUGAGCAACCUUUGCAUACUCCAAAACCAUUAUUCCUGAAGACAACUGGCGUUCACGAGGCAUACCGAGAAAUAGUAGCUCAUCAAUAACCCCACAAUUAAAUUUAAUAUGAUAAAGCCUCGGCAGUAUUUCGAAGGUUGCCUCUGUCAGACCCCACAAAAAAAUUAAAAAACAAACGUAUCAGGGAGAAGCGAUAAAAAACAUCCAUUAGAAGGAAAAAGAAACUAGAAGUUAAAAUAAUAGAGAAUUGAAGAUAAAGACAAAUCACGACCUGAACAUCUAUUUCACUAUUUGUGAAUACAGCUUCAUGAUCAGAUAAUUACAUGAAAUAGAACACAAUUUAGAGCAGCCAAUUUCAAAUCUAGUGAAAGCAAAGUUAUAUAAAUGUUGGUGAGCUUUAUCUACACUAAGAAAGCAAUCAAAAGACAAUACAAAAAAAAAAAAGAUUUUGAAUGUGCAUAUUUGCAUAUUUACUAUGAUGUCUUUUUGGUAAUUUAGAGUUGUAAGCAAUGUUUUAACUCACUUUUAAGUAUCGAUAUGGGACUGCAUACCAGUAGUAAAUUACAGCAAAAUGCAGUAUGAUCUGAUUUAUACAGUCAAGAUUAUCAAACUGCCUAGGUCCUAUGUGUUAACUCCUUUAAAGGGCUAGACAGAAUUCCUAUGCAGCCAAGCAGGCACCUGAACAAAAUUAUUCCUAAAAAAAUAAUAAUAGCCAUCAUAGUUUUUAAAGAGCGCAUCAAAGUACAUCAUAUAAAUAAAUGGUAAGGCUGUCAACUACUUAAAUUAUGGAAUUAAAAAAAACUUUGAUUUAAUUAUUUUAGUUUUGCUUAAACAGUUUUUAUAUUAAGUGAUUUGAAGCAUUUAAAGCUUCUUAAAAGCAGAAUAUGUUUGAAAAUUGAUUAGUGUACCAGGGAACACUCUAUAAAUGGGGACAACUAUUUCAAUAAAUCAACAAACAGGCACUCAACCUGAGCUAAAGGUGGCCCCUAGGAGGCUCACUGCCCAUCUAGGAACUUGGGUGAUCACCUUGCCUAAGGCCUGGAAGGCAGUUUGGUUCACCAAGCACCUACAUGGGACUGCCUAGGCACCUAGGCAGCAGCCUGUAACAACCAUGAGUACAGAAUCCCCUUAUACCAACCAACACAUCGUACAAUCUUGGAACAGGGCCACCAAAAGAUACAUGCUAGUGGGCGGCGGUAGUAGCUUUCUUUUCUUAUUUUUUUGGAUUGGUGUGGGGGGGUUGGAGUGCAUGAGCCCCACACUACCACUAACCUAUUGGGUCGAUGCAGUACACACAAUACAAUAAGCGGUAAGUGUCAACAAGAAAACUACGUAUAUAAAGGAACUCUGAAGUUUAGAUUAGAGAAUGAAAAGUGUAAAACUGACCACAGCAAUGCACUUAAUCUAGUACUAUGACUAACAGAAAAUUUAGAGUGGUUGAACCGUUGAACACAUUUCAUAAUUAAUAACUAAUGAUAGGGAAAUGAACAAAAGGAAGAACAGAUAGAUCACGUAAUUUAUAAUAUAAAGUUGUUGAAUGAGAACUUUAUAUAUUUUCCCAAGGAUUCAAAGACAGAAGAAAAUAAUUUCUAACAUCAGAGAUAGUUCUUAGAAACAGGUCAUGGUUUGAACAUUGAAAAUUCAAAUGAAACACCUCCUACUGAUAUCUAAGAAUUUCUUCUAUAGACCAGAACCCGUGUCAUACUGAAACACAUAACUAAGCAUUGGCAGCAGAUAAUUAACCGAAAAUAAAGGGUCCAGGUAACAUUUAGUCAAAUCUUAAUAAUCUUUCUUGACCCCUCAAAGAUCCUAAACUCCUUUCCUACAUAAGCCUCCUAAACCCCUCUUUUUCUAUCCCCUUAUCUUGCUUCGAAUCCCUCAAACUACGAAAACUUCCAAUCAUAGGCCCAUCCUUCCAGCACCAGAAUAAGCAAGCCAGCAAGCAAGAGAGAGAGAGAGAGGCAUCUAUCUAUAUAUGUGGAAGUACCACAGUCGAUUGUGAGAGGAUCAGUGCAUUUAAGUUUGGCUUCUCUUCCCCCCACACCCUUCUCCUUUUGUUUAUUUUACUUACAAGUUCCUUUUAUGUCAAUUUGGUACACAAGUUAAUAAGAAAUGCACAUGUCCAUAUUGUUUGCAAUAUGAAUUUUCUUCCAUCAGUCAAAUCGUUAAAUUUCAAGGGUCAUUGCUUGGUGCAAUGGCAAAAGGAUUGGGCUCAAGUGAGUGGCAUGGGUUCGAGUCCUGGGGCACCCACUUUGUGCCAAAAAAAAUGCCAAAGUUUGCCCCUCCCAGCACCCUCAAUUGCCAGGACCAUAAUUAGGCAAUGGCCAUUUUUAUGAAACCAUUGGAUUUCAACUUAGGUAUGAAAUUUAUUUUAUCCCCUUUUCCUUUUAUAUUAAUCAGCUAGCCUUUGAUCUAAAAGCAAAUAAUCACACAUUUUAUUGCUACAUAUUUUGCAUUUACCAUAUUCAAUUAUCCAUAUUCUUUAAAAGGUGCAUUAAACUAGAAAUUAGAAGGACUUGUUAUCCGACAAAUCAACUUUGAGAAUUACUCCUGCCCCUAAAACUAUCUGUCAGUGCACCAUAUUAUAACUUCUGCAAUAUGUACUUACAAAACCAUAGAAAUGUUAAUUACUGUUUCUUAACCCACAUAAAAGUGAUUUUGAUCGAGCGAUUUCUGGAAAGAACUGACUAAAAAGUAAAGUGAAGACAAAAAACUCCCUAAGAUGGAAAAAUUGAGAGAUAUCAAAAGAUAUUUCCACUUCAAAACCAAUAAUUUGUGUAGGGAGCAAUGGUAAGUAACAUUCAUAAACCACAACCUGAAACAGCCAGAUGAAGGUUAGUUGUUGAUCAUGAAAAUUCCAAUUAUAUUCCCUUUUAUCUGAACCUCUUGUGACAACAUUGGACGUAAAAUUUAGUUUGCUUUGAGAAAACAAUGCUAAUUUUACAUUUGCUAAGACAGGAGUUUCACUGUAAGCAAGCAAUGGUACCAUUUAACUUCUGAAAAGCAUAUGUCAUAUUGGUGCAUAAUAAAGUCACUAAAAGGAAACAAGCAACAGCAGUCAUGCAAAAGCCAGGCAUACAAAUAUAGACAUCGAUAGGAGUUGGAACAAUUUCCAUAAUCACCAAUGAUGAGAAUUCCUGUGUUACAGUAAAGUAAGUAUCCUGCUAACAGAGUUUAAUAUUAGUGAAUCUACUAACCAAAUCCUUUUCCUGAUCUAGAACCACAGAUGCUGCAUUGCCAUGCAUCCUGCAAAUAAGUAAAAUAAAAUAGAGUGAUAUAUCAAUAUACAUGUAACAAUGAUACCUCUAUGCAUUUAAACCUCAGAACAAGAUACUACUCUAUAUUGAAACUUCAUGUACAACAAGGACAAUGAUAUAGUUCAAAUCCAAGAUCAUCAAAAUAAUGAUAAUAACAGUGGAAACUUGAGAUUCAAGUUCUACGGUGUCAAUGAUCUAAAACUCUAAAUAAUAUGGUGAACAUAUCCUAGUUUUGAGUAAAAUAAACAUCAAAAUUAUAAGAUUGGAGCAAUUUUAUGUGUUAGUAAAGAAGUAAAAGGACUUAUUACAAGCGGGAACUUUCUUCAAAGGUCUUAUUUUACGUCUUCUUUAGAUUAGGCAAGCUCUAGCCACCUUAACAUAUCAGUAUAAUUGUGCUGAUGAUAUCUAAAGUUGAAGUAGGAUAUCAGAUUUUUUUUUUUAAUCAGUUUCACUUCACAAAAAGGUAAAGCACAGACUGAUGAGUCUCGCUGGUGGUCUAGGCUUUUGAUACAAAAGGCUUGAAUGUCCUCUCAAUUUUUGACAUCUACUUCAGCCAGCUGGCUGCUUAAUUUUCCAAUCAGAAUUUCAUUAUUGAUGUAGGAAGGUACUUCACAGGCUAAGUAAGAAACAACUGCACAAUUUAUGCAGCAAAACAGCACAGAACAAAUAAAGGAAAAGAUAGGAGUCAAAUGAUAUGGAUUAUGUGUUUUUUCUUUUAAGGAUUGAAGAGAGAGGUCCAGGGACAUAAGUAAUAAUUAGAAUGCAUGAAAAAUUUCAAAGGGCAAAGCUGCAUAGCAGGAAAGAGAAAAUAAGAAAUGAGUUGAAUGGUAUGCAUUAUGUAGUGUUUGUUAUCAAAGGAUUGAGGAUAAAGGUCUAGGCCUCUGUAAUAUAAUUGGAGGUCAUGGCAAAUUCAAGGGUUUAAGUCUUGCCACUGCAACAGACACCACAGCUGCUAUAUUCAGAGGUGCGAGUGAAUUAGAUCACAGAGAAAGGAAUAGAAAGAAACCAACAAAGGGAUAAACAGGGAUGUUUACGGUGAUAACUUUGCAAAAUAAUUUGGGCUUUUAUAAAUUGUAUAAGAAGGAAGUUUGAGGGUGGUCUGGGCUGCAUGGAUAUCCAUGGAAAUAUGAUUAUAACUAAUCAUGACUAACCUGGAAGCAGUCCCAUGAGGACUUCUUUCCAAAUAUUGGACCAGCGGAGUCAUAUGAGUAUAUGACCAUCCAAACUGACCACUCCAAUAUCAUGUGCAUUGGAUGUGUCUAUGCCUUAAAAUACUUCCAUGGCCAUGUACUGGAUGAGACCAAGAUCUCCCAUUAACGUCUUAAGUCAUAUUCCAAUAUUAAAGCCUCCUGGUAUGGAACUGGUUGUCAUGCUUUUCUUAAAUGAGAACAAGGAGCAAUUGGGGUCUCAUUUGUCCAACUAAAUAAAAAAUUUAAUUAGUUAGAUAGUCAUUAAUUUGUAAAGAAAACAAAUUAAUUCCUAAAGUUUAAAAAAUUUACUUGAUUGCCUCGCAUAUAUGUAUUAGGAAAAAAAUUACUAGCAUCCUUAGCUGAAUUUAAGCAAAUACUUCACCCACUUUCUGUACAGAAUUUAGAUCUAAAAAUUGUUGAUUAUCUAAUUUUGAUUCAGAGUGGCUUUUCAAAACUCGAUCCCUCUAGAAUUACUAAUCUGAUUGUGCAUAAUACAGGAUUCAAUAUUUUAUGUUAGUCUUGCUCUCCAUGUGCAUUUGAAUAGUAUCUUUGCUACUUUUAGCACAUGUUCUAGAUGCAUCUUCAAGUCCAAGUUAUGUGAUAUAAUGUCAUAUAGAUGUAAGACAAAAAAUUUGGUACAAAAACCAUGAAUAGAGCAUUUAGAUAUAUACUCUUUCCAUACAAUUUUUUAAAACAUAACACUAAGAUUAAAAAAAAUAUGAAAAAAGCAACAAAAACGAUUUCAGAAGACAAUAAGCUGUAGCAGGGCCACGGCAACUUGAUCAUGUGCAAUUCGAUCCACAUCAUUUGCAUCCUUUGUUCGAUACGAAUAUUUUUAAUGUUGUUUCUUAUAACUGUAUGGUUCCCUUAUGUCAGAAAUUGUAUUAUGUAUCAUGUCCCAGUUUUCAGAAGACAAAAUAAGCUGUGGCAGGGGCAUGCCAACCUUGUCAUGUGCAAUUCAGUGCCAUACCAUUCACAUCCUUGGUUCGAUACAGAAUAUUUUUAAUGUUGCUUGUUAUAACCGUAUAGUUUCCUUAUGUCAGAAAUUGUAUUAUAUAUCAUGCCCCAGUUUUUUACUAUGUAAUCUCCACAUUUAGAUCAACAUACUUUAUGAAGCAUGUAAAAUGGAGAGCUUGAAAAGUUAAAAACACUAUUAAAAAGGUCAAAGUUAUUAAUAUAUCAAUAUAAGGCAUCAUUGGCAUAUUUAUGCAAAGGAAAUUAAAAAAAAGUUAAAGUUCAAAUAUAAAAAAAAUGACUUAUUAGGUCUGUGCAAAUAUACAAAUAAUGACUUGUUAGUUCUGCAGAAAGAAAAUAAAGUUUUUUGCAUUUUCAUUGACAACAUUUAAUAUAGGAAAUGAUAUCUCCGCUCCUCCUUGCAAGAGUAACCAUCUAGCAUCAAAGUACCACUUAUGAAAGUGAGAAAAAACUCAUUUUGUCUAAAGAAACAUGGAAGGAAUCACUCAAACAAAAGACCAUGUCUCCAUAUUUUGUGCAUAAGCAGUUGACCGCAUCAACCAUCCCCACCAGUUUCCAUAUUCUUAGAGCUCUAAAAUCCAAUUCACACUACUCAAGCAGAUAUCGGCCCAAAAAUGCAGAAAUAGAAGCAAAGUAUCUUUUAUGAAUGAUGCUAUCCUCCAAACAAACCAUAGACACAUCUUGCAUUAUCAUUAUUCGAAAUACAGCAUUAGGAAGAGCAUGCAUAUUAGCAUUAUGCAUGCAUGUUCAUGUGAUCGAGGGAUUCAGCUAUAAUUUGGAUACAGAAUACAUGAGGCACAACAAGAACUCUAUGGAUAUGCAUUAAGCAAGUUAAAAAGGAAUACAAGAAACAAUAUUAGUGAGACGCUAACCAUAGUAGCUUGUGGGAAAACACCUAAGGCAUGGUUGCUUUUUAUAUUAUCAUACAAUGACAAACACCACCUUUUCUUAGCUCGUGGUGCAAAAUACUCUGUCACAAAUUUCUUCCAAUAUUGUAUAGAAUUAUCCUGCAAUUGGAGCAAAUACUGUUAGACAAGUUGGCUAUGAGAAAACAGCAGUAGAAACAUAAUCCCAACAAACACGUCAGAUUAGUAGUGCAUAUGAAACAAUCAACUCACAGCUGGCCGAUUACGCUGAUGAUACAUGUAUUGCGUAAGACGGCGAGCACAUAACCCUCCAUCCAGGGGGCAUUUUGCAGGCGUAACUGGUCGCAUGUUCUGCUGCUGCAGAUGCUGUCUCAACUGAUGUUGUUGUUGGUGGGCUGUCUGGGCUUGCUGUAUCUGUGGAAAGGAUUGCAGCAAUUGCUGCUGCUGAGCUUGAUGCUGCUGCUGAGCUUGAUGCUGUGCUGACCUCUGCUGCCGCAUUAUGGCCUCUAACUGUGGAUUCUGAUGUCCCUGCAGCUGCAAUGGCUCAUGUCUCUGCAGAAGCUGCUGGACUACCUGCUGCUGAUAAUUACUCCCCUGCCUCAUAUCAAGCCGUGGUUUCUUUUGGGCAUUUGACAAAUCACCCACCUCCUGAGCUGUCGGCCGAGACAUGGCACUGGACACCACUUGAUUCUGCACCUGGUCAUGUUGUGGGCUCUGCUGCACAAUGGAAGAGCCAUCCAUCAUAGGGGAACCUGAUACAUUGUUUGAUGAGAAGGACAUAGGUGAGGCAGGUAGACGCAUGUAGGACUCAGUGUUGAUGCUGGUGCUCCUUUGUAGCUGAGGCCUGCCAGAGAGCGCCGAGCUGGCAUCCGUAACCAGCGAGUUUGCGCCGACACUGGGCCCAGAAGAGUUUGCAGCACUGUUGAGGACCCCGUGGUUCAUGUCUCCAGAGGCCGGAUAGAGACCAGAUCGCCCGGUCCCUGACAUGGAGUUCACUGGGGCUAGGCUCCGGCAGUCGCCUUGAAAUAAUAUUCCAGAGGCCGAGGAAGACUGGGACUGGCCUCCACCACCAGCGAUCCGUGAUGGGACCACUGAGGGGGCGGCUCCCAGUUGGGGGCUGGAAUCCAGGUAGCUAUCCAGAACCCACGUUCCCCGGAAAAAAAAAAAGAACCUUCCACUGAAAGAAUUCAAGCCCUAAUCUUGGCGCAUUCAAUAAAAAUCAAGUCUUUCUUCCGCCAACUGCACCAGAAACUAGGGUGAGAUCAACCACGAACGAAAUUAAGCAAAUGUAACAGUACCCUUAAAUUUCUAUCAAGAAAGAUCAAACCCUAAUCGCCUCAAAAGCCACUAAUUCAGCCAGCAGAAGCUGAAACGAGGCAAAAUAAUAAAGAAAAAAAUAAUUAAUUGCAUGCAGCAAUAGCCUAAAAUAGGAAAGAAAAAACCCUAAUCUCCUUCCAAUUCAAUUUUUUAUAUAAAAAAAAUUGCAACCAAUUCUGAAAAUCCUCGAUGGCAGUAAUUAGAAGAAACAGCAGGAAAUAACUCAUCUUCAAUUCCAAAAACUCACAGAAAGAUGCAACAGUACCGCUCAAACAACAGAAAAGAUCGCUAACUUUUACUGCUUGAUCAAAAACAGAUAAAACUAUCUGAAAAAAUACAACACAAAUCUACUGAAUUAAAGAAGUAAUGCAGCAAUAACCCAAAAAAGGAAAGAAAAAACCCUAAUCUCCUUCCAAUUCAAUUUUUUUAUAUAAAAAAAUUGGAACCAAUUCCGAAAAUCCUCGAUGGCAGUAAUUAGAAGAAACAGCAGGAAAUAACUCAUCUUCAAUUCCAAAAACUCACAGAAAGAUGCAAAGUACCGCUCAAACAACAAAAAAGAUCGCAACUUUUACUGCUUGAUCAAAAACAGAGAAAACAAUCUGAAAAAAUACAACACAAAUCUACUGAAUUCAAGAAGUAAUUCCUCUACUUACCCUUCAAGUUCGAGAACGAAUUAUCUUAGCAAAAGAAGAGAAUUGGGAAUAGGUCGCGCCGGUUCUUUCGCUUUUCUCGCCCCUUUCCUUGAGGCUAACUCCGUUCGACGAGCUUCCCUUAUAUAGCGGCGGGGGGAAAGCGAGCCUGGGGAGGGGGUGACCGGCAGCAACCGCCUCAGCCGCCCGAUGCCACCGGCCGUUACCAGUCACCUGCGAGAUGUCGAGAUCGGGGGACGUCCACGCGGCAAGUUCAACUUAAGAUUCCGACACGUGCACAUCGGUAACCGGAAAAGAGAGAUGUGGAAACCGACCGGGAUAGGGAGAACCAGAUCAUACCACGCGAAUCCGAAUAACUGCGGAUGAAACCCUGUGGUUGGAGUGUGGGGACCACAUCAGUUGGCGCCAGGGGGCUCGUUUGGUCUUUUUAACUACGCGUAUCUGCACACGUGGGCUUGGGCUUUUCUUUUAAAAUACCGGGGGAUCUAGACAUCAGCUGCUUUAUUUUGUUAAAUUUCACGUCCUAAGAAUAUGCCUCUGUUUUUAGCCAAAAAAAAAAAUGCCUCUGGAAUCAGGAUGGAUGGUAGCAGGAUACAUUAAUUUAUUUUGCUCAAUAAACCUAGAGAUUAUGGUUAGAAAAGGUUACAAAAAAUAUUAGCAUAUUUUUACAAAUCACAUCACAAACUGCAUCAUCCAUAAUAUUUUUUUUAUUAGCAUGAUUUUAUAUCCAUCUAUAUUAUUUUUUUUAUUAGCAUGAUCUUAAUUUUAGAGAUCACAUAAUAACUCGUAUCACUCAUAAUAUUUUUCUUUUUUAGACCGAUCAUUUAUCAGCCUAUAUUAUUUUUCUUUUAUAUAGUCUGUGGAGUAUAUAUAACCCAUGAGAUAUAUCGAAUGUGAUGAAAUAGAGAAUAAAAUCAUUUUUCUCUCUCUUUUUCUCUUAUUUUUCUAUUCUUCUGCAAAUAUUUUAAUAUGAUAUCAGAGCCAUUGAUCACCUAAUCUAUUGUCGCCAUUAUCGCUCGGUCCUUUCUAUCCAUCUUUGAUUUCAUUUGUUGCCUUCAGCUCCUUUACCAUCUAGUUCGAGGUCUCUUUCUCCUCUGUCAUCGUGCCUUCUUCAACGAGAAUCACCAACGUUCAAUUGCCUUCUCUUUGAGCUCUAUCGUCGCUGUAAUUGUUAUCUUUUGUGUCUUCUUGCUACCACAUUAUCAAAUAAGUUAAUUAGCCACAUUGGCAGGCACAUCAGAAAAACACAUUGAUAGACACUAAUUUGCUUUGUUAGUUAGUCAAGUUAGUGGAUGCAUUAGUCUACCGCAUCAGUUAGCUAUGUCAGUAUUGCCAAAUACAUCAGGUUGAUGUGUUAACUUUCUGAUUUGCUGCAUCAAUUUUUAAACUAAUAUGUCUGCUUCUAUUCUGCCAUUUCAAAUUUUAUAUUAUCACAUCAGCUUGACACAUCAGUCUAUUAUAUCAGCUUCUGAGUUAUUAUGUCAACUCUUAAUUUACUACAUCAGUUUCUGAGCUGCUAUAAUAGCUCGUGUUCUGCUACAUCAGACUUUAUGCUACCACAUCAGCUCUUGAUCUACCACCACGUUAGCCUCUGGGUUGCUAUAUCAGCUCCUAGUCUAUCACGUCAGCCUCUUAGUUACUAUAUCAGUUUCUAGUCUAUCACGUCAGCUUCUGAGCUGCUCUUCAGCUCUUAAUCUGGUAAAUCAAUUUCUAAGCACAAUCAUGAUUUAGUUUUCGAAUUCAAGUUUGCACCUACAAUACCAUCUUGAGUUUGAGGAGUGAUAUUAGCAUAAUUUUAAAGAUUACAUAAUAACCUGCAUCCCCCAUAAUAUUUUUUUAUUAGUGUGAUCAUAUAUCGGUCUAUAUUAUUUUCUUUAUAUAAAAUCUGUAUAUGAGUAUUUAUAACCCUUGAAAUACACCAAAUGUGAUGAAACAAAGAAAUAAAAUUACUUUUCUCUCUCUUUUUCUCUUACUUUUCUUUAUUCUAUAAAUAUUUUUAAAAAAUAAUUAUAGAAUCUUAAAAAAAAUAUUUUGUCCAUCAGAAAUAUAGACAAUCGUAUUAUUUUUUGUUUUAAUAAAAACAGACAAUCAUAGUUAAAAAUUUAGUAUAAGAUUUUUCCUUGAAAAAUUUAUGUGGAGGGUCCCAUUUUGUGAACCAUUGGAAUUUUCUGCUACAUAAUGCAUUUAUUAAAUUGUUCCAUCGUUAAAUAAUAUAUGAUUAGCCAACCCACAUGAUGCUUCCAUAGUACAUCACUAGGCACCAUUAUUUAAUAAAUUCAAUAAUCAUAAUAUCUUUCCAAGGGUUUUAAAUAAAUAUGCUAUAAUGACUAGUCUUUUUCAAGGAAGUAUCCAUUGUGAUCUCUUUCCUGGAAAAUGGUCAACAAACCAAUGGGAGGUACAACUUUAUUUUCAAUUGAGAGAGGACACAUUGAAAAGAAAAUGAGAAUACUUUUCCCUGAUAGUUGUGGAAUUCAUAAGUCAAAUAUGAGUUGAAAUUAUAAGUUGGCAUCAUGAAUUCACGAGAGGUGCUGUGGGCACAAGAGAAAGGAAAAGUAGCAACCAAAGAGAUACAGAGACGCAAGAAGACAAUCUUGGAACGUACAGAGAAGUGAAAAUAACAAUGUUGAUAUUCAUUCUCAUUAAUAUGAAAAUAAUAAUAAUGAUAUUUAUUAAUAUAUCAUAUUCAUAGAGUACAAUAAUACUAUACUCUGUAAUAAUAUAUUAAUAUGUAGUAAUAAUAAUAAUACUAAUACUUUAUAUCAAAAUAUUGUAUUAUAGUAUAUAUUAUAUCAUAAUAUAGUAUAGUAUAGUAUACUAAUAUUAUGACAAUACUACAUUAUUAUCAUUAUUAUAUCAUAAUAAUCAUAUUUUAAUAGUAUAAUAUAUGAUACUCCUAUAAUAUUAUAAUAUUAUACCAUUCUAAUAUUAUACUCUUUAAAAUAACUAAUUUGUAAAUUAAGAAUACUUUAUAAUAAUAGUUCUUGAUAGCUUAAAGAGUUAAAAAAUUAUAAAUAGAAUGUGAUGUUUUUUAUUGUCAUUUUAUCAUAUUAUAAGCAUUUUUUCGGUUUGAUUACCAUACAGAUAUUAAAGUUCCAUGGCAGUGUAGAAAUGUAGUUAGGAAACAAUAAAAAGUAUUUUGUUAAAAGCUCUACUAACAAAAUACCCACUCCCAACAGCUCUAUUGAUAAAAGCUCUAUUACCAAUAGCAAUCCCUACUAAAACCUUGGUCUGCUUCACUCACUAUCUUAUGUUUUCUCACAUUAAACUCAAUUUUGAGUUUUCUUGUGCAAGCUCAGGUGGCUUCUCAUCCUUAUCUACGUUGAGGAGCAACUUUCUUUCUUCCUAGAUCCUUCUUCAGAUUUUUUCCUUUGGGUUGCAACUAUGAGAGUAGCUUCUAACACUUCUUGCUAUGUCCAUUGAUCCUAUAUGGUGAGUUUUCCAAAAUUUGUUAGCUUGUUUCUUGCUCUAGUCUUCCACCAUCUUUCUUGAACUUAUUGCCUUUCAUGCCUUCCUUAUGCCAGUGCUUCUCAAGUUGUUACAAUACCGGUAUUCUUAGAAUUGGACUCAUGUGAUUUGGAUUUGCAAAUAUCUAAGGAAACUAGCUUGACAAACUUCCAUAAAGAGCUACAGAGACGUAAAUCUAAGAUUUCAAAACCCCAGCAUUCAUACAAUUGCACGCCUCGAAGAUUGUAUACCAUAUUCACUUCCCUAGGCUUCUAUCCAAUAUUGAAUUAGGUUUGAUUGUGCAUCUUAGAUACAAUGUAUAUAUGUGUGUGUGUGUGUAUGUAUGUGUGCGCGCGCCCGCGUGCAUGCGUGUGUGUAAGGUAUCCCCCAAAUAAUUCCAAUCAAAGCAUUUUAAUGUCUCGUGGUGGAUUGAUAAGAAUACUCCAAUAUUUCAUCUUUGUCAAAAAUUACAUAUACCAUAUAAGAUAGAUAUCAUAUUUAUGGAUAUGAUUCACUUUCAAAAUAUCUUAAUGGCUAAAUGAUAGACACACGAGACGCAAUCUCGUGCUAAAGAGUGUGGAGGUUUGAGUCCUCUUCAAAGCAUAAUAUUGAGAAUGCUUACUGAAUAAGCAAUUCAAUAACAGAUCUAAUCAAUGUUGAUAUAUCAAAUAACUUAUAUAUUGAUACGAAGUAUUUCGACAAUCCCCAUGAUUUGAAUCUGAGUUGUUGGAAUUAGAAUAAAUUAGGUAGUGGAUCGUGAAAUCUUGGCACCUCUAUCUAAUGAAUGUGGAUGUCCAUUUGAAAAGCAUUUGCCUUGCACCCACCCUUGAAUAUAGGAUUCAACAAAAAUCAUACAAGGGUAAAUUAAUAGAAACCACUAAUGAAAUACCCACUAGUACCUAUUACCCAGAAGAUAAAAUCUAGAGGUGAUUUUAUAGCUUAAUCAUGAUUUAGUUGGCCCAAUGGUGCAGACUCCCCUUUCAUGCCAAUUGGAAACAAAAGUAUCUUAAUCCUAUCUUAUCAUCAUAUGAAGCGCAAACUCCUCCUUGCCUAAUGGUACCAGUGGAAUAGAAUUGACCUACAAUAUAGAACUCAUAGGUGUAACCUUUCACUCAAUGCUAAGAUUAACAAUUGAAGCAUCCAAGGUUACAUAAUCGAGGAAACAUGACCAUGGCCUUCUCGCUAGAUUCAUGGGUAUAUUUAGCUUUGAACAGUUUUAACUUUUUCCGGUUGCUCUCAUGGAGACCACCGAUGUACUUUAUAAAGAUUUCAUGAUCAUCAAUGAACAUCUCCAGUAGAAUAGGUUGCUUGUAGAACGUGGUAAUGUAGUUAUGGAUAAAUUGAUCAUACUUAUAUUAUAGGUAUUGUCACUUGAUUCACCAAUUUUUCUAAUUAUAAAUUAUGUAGAAUUGUUUUGUGAUUAGGCUCUUAAACUUUUCCUAUUUUAGAUUAUAGAUAUUAUUUUUUAUGGACAAAUUCCAUCAAGUAAGAGCAAGACCAAAAAGCUGGAGACAAACAAAUGGUACCUUUUAGAUACUAGUAUAAUCAUAGAUAGUGAAAUAAAUCUUUGACUAAUCUAGCCAGUUAUCCAGCUUCUUUAUAUUAACAAUGACAUCAUAUAUAGGGAUUUUGAUUCGAGCUUCAACUUUUAAUGGUUGAAAAGGAAAAUAUUAUGUGCCUUCAAGUUUCUUAUCCUCCUCGCCGGAUAUUAUAUCCUCAUCUCUAGAUGUUGGAGAUAGCUUUACCAUAAUAGGCAUCACCAAUCAAAAUACAAGCUCGAUAAGUUAAGCAAUCUUCUCCUCCAAUUGUAUGAGAUAUACUUUCAUCUCAGCAUUUGUCAAGGUACAAUUAGUAGCUAUAUUGAAAUUAUCUUGCUAUUUACUUCAAGCACCAAUAAUCUCUCUCAUCUGCUUGUACUGCUUAUGCAUCCAGACCAUAAACUAAGAUCCUCAUAGAUACAAGGACUAGAGCUCUAAUACCAAUUUGAUCACUUGGAGAGAGAAAUUCAUUAACCCACUCAAACUCGAAUCAUUUUAACAAAUAGAAAAUAUAAAAAUUAGCAAAAAUAGAAUAUAUGUCUCCUUUUCUUUCAGUAAUGGAACACAAAACCAUAAUACAAAAUCUUUAUUUAUAUUAGUGAGGUACAUCUUUUCACAAUUCAAUCAAAUUCCUCUUAUAGUUAAAAGAGGAUACUGCUUUUUCGAAAUCGACAAUGACUAAUUAAAAUAAUCAAGAAAAACCAAAAUGUUGUAGAAAGUAGAUUCUAUCUUUUACAUCAACUUUAUCUAUAGCCACUUGGCUAGUGCUUUCCAGAUUGAAGAUAUGUCCGGCCAAAGUCUUCCUCGAAAAGGAAUAUAUUACUUUGACGAGCCCGUUUUAAGGUCGAAAUGAUGGAAUUUGAUCCUAAUUGCUCAAUAUACACACUCUUACGAAUGGUACCAUAUCAUAGAGCUCAAAAAUUACUCCAUUUCAAGAAGAAGAAGAAGAAGAAGAAGAAGAAUAGAACCUAAAUUAGAUAAUGUACAGAUAAGUUAUAGCGGCUGACAGUUGGAGAAAAGGACAUCACAUAUUAUUCAAGCAUAGUUUUAUUAAACAAGUUAGAGAUAAUGACUAGUUGGAAAUUGAGACUAUAUUCUUUGUUUAGAUUAUACGGUUGCUAAAAUAUAGAUUUCACAUACUCUCCAAGGGCAACUAAUUGGGGAAUUGCUUGCUCAACAUGCCUUACACCAUAUUCAUCUGGACUCCUCAGUCUUGUUGGUAGCCCGUAGUUCCUUUUUCAGUCUUAGGGAGGGAUUUAGAUAGAACCGAUUCAACAACAUAGGAAAAAACUUUCUCUUCAAAGAAGGUGGGAAGAGCUUUCAUCCCGGACUCAUUCUUCUAGGUCAAAUUCUUUUCCUUCAAAGAGGGCUAGGUCUAAUCCAGGGUCACUCGACCUAGAAAAACAGAUUUACAGUAAAUGUUGAUGACAUGAUAUAAUUUUAGCAUUUCAUACAUUCUCUGAAAAAGGCUUGCAAACAAAAGCUUGACACUGCCAAGAAUGACUCUCAAAAGCUCACUUUCUGUUAGCCAUUAACGUUGAGCUACAAUAAAAAUACAUUGCUCAUUUCUACUUUUGUAGUUAAUUGUCUUCUUUUUUUCUCUCUGCCUCAGAUUAAACCCAGAACCAAGACAAAAGGCUCUCACAUUAAUCACCCAUUAGAACAACAAAAAAAGACUAAAGGGAAGGAGAGAUGAUGAAACAUAUGGCUUACAUGGAACAAGAAAAGUUACUCUAGGUCCCUAUUGUACUAUGCCAUCAUUUGAUCUCCGAUAAGGUACAUAAUGAUGAUCUUUAGAUACAUUCUUCUUCCUUUUCUCAAGUACGAGUCAAGCUUUCCUGAUGCCUGUAGAGCCAAUAGAGAAGAAUGAAACAAAUAAUGAAAAGACUAUCUUCGUGAGUUAUACAUCAACCAAAUCAUGUUCCAUGGGCUUGUGCAUACCUUGAUCUCAUUAUACUUCUUUAUCAGCUUCCUUUCACGAAUUUCUGCUGCCUAACCAAAAUUAAGUUAAACAUUGAAUAGGCACAAGCUAGUUAUUGACAAUGCAGAUUUGUGCUUGCUUGUGCAUGUGCGUGAGUUCGUGGGCUUGUGUGUGUGCGCUCGCACACUUUUGUGUGUAUGUGUGUGUGAAGGGAAUAUAUAGACAGACAUUUUUUGGGAUAUUGUGGUUGUUUUCCUCGCUUCACUGCUUCUCUUUCUUUUUUUAUAUAUUCAGAAGAAGAUUAAUCGAUAGAGUAGAUUACUAAGCAGGCUUGGUACACUCUUCUGCGAAGGACUAAUAGAUUGAUGGAUGAAUGGAAGCAUGAUGGAUCAAGAUAUAGAUGCACUCGCAAGUGAUCAAUAGCCUCCCUAAAACACUCGUACAGACUGAAAGAACAAAUUCCUUUCCGACAAAAUUUCAGAUUCAGCACUCUUUCGAGGGCCUGAUUUUACCGCUUAUCUUGAAGAUGUAAAAUAGUAUUGAUAAAAGAUGAUUAGUGUAUAGUAUUAACAUCCAAUGACAAGGUAUGAUGUAUGUAAGACGAGCAAUUUCACAAACUUUAUCAAUUUUAUGUUGAGGUGAAGAAUCCAUCAAACAAGACAAUAAUCCUAGUCAAGUUAGGAUUUCUAAAGCAUCCCUUAACAUAGUCAAGAUUUGAAUUCAAAUCAGAUCCAAAAUUACUAAUCGAUCAACGCAACAUUCUUGCACCAUAUUUGCUUUUGAAGGUUUAACUACUCAUGCAAUGUUUGCUACAUCCAAUUGUGAUGGUAAUAGUUAUAUUAAUCUUGAAAUGAUCUAUUUGCAAAUACUCGAGCCUAUUCCUUAGGGUUUCACUUCCCAUUUAUAUUGGUUAAAACUUUUAAAUAGCUUAUCAUCUUUACCAAAUAUACUAGCUUCUAGAAUUCUGCUUAAUUUUUAUGCCCCAAUAAAUUUUGUUCCUGUCCAUGAACAAUUACAAAUCUAAGACAUCAUUCAUUUCACUUUGUUUAAACAAAAAUAUAUAGAAACAAAUCAACUGCAAGCUGGGUUUUAGCAAGAUCUGCAACAUUGGAUCAGAACUGAAUAGAUGUAGACAUUAUAGCUGACUUAGAUAUAUUGAAAACAUAACAGCUACUAGAUCCAAUCACCACCAAUAUAACUAAAUCUACCUAGAAAUACUUAAAAAAUAAGUGCCAAGACCAGCAGCAUAUUUAGAUCAAUCUGAUCCAGAUGUCUAACUUCAUUCACACGAAGCACAUGAUAAGCAGACAGACAUAUUUGUGUAAAAUAAGCACGAUCCAGGAAAGACAGAUGACUAUCAUAAAGAAGAUUGCCUACUCAAUAAAUCUCUUUACAAGGCCACAUUGGACUGAACAAUAGCAACUUUAUGCCAUGCUUAUAAGUAAAUAUGGAGGGUAUUUUCUGAAGUUUAAGGAGUAGACCUAUGAGGAAGAACCUCAUCUACAUACAUGCAAACAUAAAUACAUACAUAUAUGUGUAUGUGUACGUACAUAAAUUACAUAUGUCCAUAUGCCUGUAUGUGUGACUAUAUAUGUGCGUGUGAGUAUGCACAUAGCAUAUACAUAUGUAUGUAUGCAGAUGCAAAUGCAUAUGUUUGGGUGUUCACAUACAUAAAUAUAUAGAUAAGAUUGCAAAAUUAGCCUUGUCUGAUUAAACAAUAAUGGGGAUAUAUAGAUGAAGCAAUUGCAAUUACAAACUCCACUACAAGAUACAUGCAUUGAGACCACUAUUCAAAUCUGAUCAUCUUUAGGGAACUCUCCUAAUAUCUACUCCAAUUAUUUUGUGGGUCCAUUCGGUCACCCGCCAAACACAUAAAUGCCAAAUUCAGUAGUUAUGCCCCCAAACUAUUCAUUCUGAUUUAAGAAUCAUUGGUUCGCCUCAAUGCUACUUUUAGAUUCUCAUUACAUUCUUCAUACAGAAGUUACUAGUCCUGUUCGCUCUGGAUUUUGGCGGAUUUUGAUUGUCUUACAUAUCCUCUAAUGACUCUCCAAAUAAAUUUCUUUCACUAAGCAUCUCAUAUCUAAUUCCUCCCAUAGAACCAUUAAACUGUUCGAUAAUUCACCUCGUUGUUGCUUUCUAUCUUGUCCUUUCAUAAUGGAUCAUUCUAUUAAUUCACUUGAUUGGCUAUUCAUUUGUCUUGGGAUCUUGGGCAUUUUCUUGCAGUUAAAAUUGUAAACCUUUUAGAAGUCUAUUUCACCCUAAAUUUUUAUGUUUGUUUCUAAAUUCUAAUCUCUUUAUGUCCAUGCAAUUUUUGGGAACAACAAAUUACAUUUUGUGGAGUUCGCAACUUCUUUCUGAUUUCUAGCUUGUGCUUGAUUUCCAUCUCAAUCUUCUUUUAGAUCUUUCCUUCUUUUCACUUCCAGAUUGGCCCAAUUAUCCUUAUGUGUGUCAUUUAUACACUAAUUAUACUCUGAACACCUAGAGUUUUUCUCUGGAGGGCAAGCCAUUGUUGAUGAACUAGUAGAACUGAAACUAGAGAUUGAGAAUCCAAUCCACCCUACGCCUUUUUCUCAUCAUCACUGCCUUCUCAUUUGGGAUAGACUUCGUUUUUCUUUUCUCUCUCGUGCAAUCUUAAAUCAACAAAGGAGAAAAAAGUUUAAAAAGAGCACUAAAAAAUGACUAGAAUAGAGUCCCAGACAAUAUGUACUGAUGGAAGGGGAGAGACCUUAUAUCGAGAGACUUGGCUUUGAUUGAUCGAGAGUGUUGUCAAUACAACGCACAUCAGUGGGUAUUAUGGUUAGUCAUCUCAUUUAGCAUUUGGAAUGAACAAGGUUUGAAACUUAAAAAAUACCUAUCUCGCUUCCAUUGAGGAUUACCUUCUGACUUAAUUUAUUUCUCAAUCUGGCUAUUAUAAAUAUAAAGAAAGUAGAAACUCAAUCUUUGGGGAAUUGGAAAGGAUCCUCAGUAAGUUUUUUUUAUAGGGCAAUCUAGUGUCCUUAUUCCUCAAGUGCCAACCGCAGAGAGGAAUGCCAUCAACUAGGUUGCUAUUUGCUACUAACCACUCCCUCGCCUGCCGGCCACUCGGGCUUCAUGUUUCAAGUUUGUUAUCCUAACCGUCUCCCCUACUCUACCAAGGAAGAUUUUUCUUUUUUUCAUCGUUGACCAAGGAGAAGGACAAAAGAAUAGUUGCAUUGCUCGUAAACUUUAGAGAUGUCUUGGCAUGGACUUAUAAAGAGAUGCCUGGUUAUCUCAACCAAUUGUGACCCAGCAUUUAACUAUCAAGCCAGGGAAAAGGGCUCCUCCCCACUGAUGAACAAAUCUUCACCCCCUAAGAAGAUGCCUCUAAAAGGAUGAUUCUAGUCCUCCUGAAACAUCUCUCUCUUAUUGCAUCCGAGGAAGUCAAGCAAACACAAACAAGAAUUGCUUAUUUUUUGUAAAUAAUUAUUUGUUUUAUUGUAUGAUUAAUCUAGUUAAUAUGUUUAUUAUUUGCUGGGAUAUCUACCUCAUUAUUCCAUAUCUUAUUAUUUUUAUAGAUUUUGAAAACUAAGAUAGCAUGGGGUUAUGAUCGAGAGAGUGACUAGAGGCUAAAUUUGAUAUUUUUAAUUUAGAUUAGGUUUUGACUAGAUCUUGAUUUAAGAACUUUUAAAUAUUGUUGAUUUUAUGAGAUAUUAAAAUUUGGUUCUAGUUAUUUAAAUUGAAGUUUGAACAUUGGUUAUUUAAAUUUAUUUCGCUGUUUGCUUUAUGAUAUCGUGAUAGAUACCUUAUAUGCUUAUGGAGAGAGUUUUCUAUGAGUAUCCGACAAUUUCCAUAACUCCCGGCUCGCGAACUUGGGUUGGAGGCGUGAUAGCUGGUAUAUUGAUACCUUGCCAGUGAGAGUUAUGUAUUGGUAUAUUGAUAUCCUACCAGUAGAGGUUAUGCGCUAUUACAUCGAUAUCCUGCCAGUAAAAGUUAUGUGCUGGUAUAUUGAUAUCCUACUAAUAAGGGUUAUAUGUUGACACAUCAAUACCUUGCCAAUAGAGGUUAUAUGCUAGUGUAUCUGUGAGGACCCAUGCGGGCGUGUGUUUAGUCCCACAUCGGUUUCGCUGGGUAGAUCCUGGGUACUUAUACAAGAUCAAGGAACCCAAAUAAUACCUUUCGACUAGCCAUUUUGGGUGAGAUCCUGGGUUCUUACAAAUGAUAUCAGAGCGAACCUGACCCAUAAUCUAUGUGGACUAGGGACACUAUAGCACGAAUCUAUUGGGGUUGACCACGGGCCGAUCGUGGUGUUUGUGAUUAGAUUUGAAUAGAUUUGAACCCUUAGCCUGACGAGGACGUCAGGACUUGAAUGGGGAGAGUAUGUGAGGAUCCGUGCGGGCGUGUGUUUAGUCCCACAUCGGUUAUUCGCUGGGUAGAUCUUGGGUAUUUAUACAGGAUCAAGGAACCUAAAUAGUAACUUCCGGCUAGCCAUUUUGGGUGAGGACCUGGGGUGUUACAGAGAUAUUAGAUAUCGGUAUGUAUGUUGUACUUUAAAUAUAUGUAAUUGAUUAUAUUAUUUUAUAUUUUUCACCUUACUACUUGAUUUAAGGAUAUUUUAUGUUGCUUUUUGUAGGACGCAGCAUUUUUCUAAUUAUUUUAUAUUUUGUAUCAUUUUAAAACAAUAAGAUGCAUCAUUUAGGUUAAAUUGGAUUUAUAGAAACAUCAAAAAAUAUCAAAAAAACAAAAAAAAUUANNNNNNNNNNNNNNNNNNNNNNNNNNNNNNNNNNNNNNNNNNNNNNNNNNNNNNNNNNNNNNNNNNNNNNNNNNNNNNNNNNNNNNNNNNNNNNNNNNNNNNNNNNNNNNNNNNNNNNNNNNNNNNNNNNNNNNNNNNNNNNNNNNNNNNNNNNNNNNNNNNNNNNNNNNNNNNNNNNNNNNNNNNNNNNNNNNNNNNNNNNNNNNNNNNNNNNNNNNNNNNNNNNNNNNNNNNNNNNNNNNNNNNNNNNNNNNNNNNNNNNNNNNNNNNNNNNNNNNNNNNNNNNNNNNNNNNNNNNNNNNNNNNNNNNNNNNNNNNNNNNNNNNNNNNNNNNNNNNNNNNNNNNNNAGGUCCUAGGUUGUUACAGUAUCAAUACCCUGUCAGUGAAGAUUAUAUGUUGACAUAUUGAUAGUCUGCCAAUAUGAGUUAUAUGCUAAUACUUUGACUAUUUCUGGUCUCAUAUCCGACCCAGCCAUAUAAUAUAAGUGUGGUCAUAAUUCAUGACUUCUGAGAUAAACUUGAUGUUUUGAAAAAAAAAAAGUAGAUUUAUCAAUAAAACCUAGAUUUUGAGAAAGAUCAAAUUUGACAUGUAUAAAGUGUUUAUAAUGCUACAUAACUAGUUUUAGUUUUUGAACUGACGUGAUUCUUCUCCUUACUUUUAGUAAAUUAUUACCUCAUUUAUCUAGUUAAGUUGUUCACUACUUACUGAGCUAUGUAACUCAUUAUUCGAUACCUUAUUAUUUAUAUAGAUCUUGGAAACUAAGAUAGCAUAGGGGUAUGCUACAGGAAAGAGUGAUUAGUUGCCUAAUUUUAGUUCUCUAUUCUAUAUUAGGAUUUUAUCGAAGUUUAAUGCAAAACUUUUUAAAUAUUGCCAAUUUUGUGAGAUAUUAAGUUUUGAUUUUAUUUAUUUAAAUUAAAGUUUGAAUGUUGGAUAUUUAAAUAUAUUCCACUGUUUGCUUUAUGAUACUGUGGUGAGAUAUCCUGCAUGCUUGUGGAGAAAAUUCUCCACGAGUAUGCGGCGGUUGUUGCGACUCUAACUUGAUUUUGAGUGGAGGUGUCAAGGAGAGAGAUUAUGUGCUACUCUAUAUUAUAGAAGAAAAGAAGAUAGACAAAAAAUGAGAGAAAAUCCUGCAAUAUUUAUAGAUCACUGCACAUUUUUAUAGAAAGAUUAUAUAACGGUUUGAUGAUUAACCUUAUAUAUUGUUUCACUAAUGAUGCAGGCAAAGGUUUCAAUGGUUGUCAGCUAUGAGAGAAGUAUAUAAGAACCCAAAUGGAGGUUUUGUCAUUGUAACCCAUAUGAUAAAAGGCCACCAAAGCUCAAGAGCAUCGCAUGGCUAGCUAUAUUGAAAAUUGUGCUUGAACAAACUUGAAAGACAAACCCUUCAGAUUUAUACUGAGAUGUACGUACGUACUAAUGGGUAAAACACUCUAAAAGUCUACCCAACUGAUAAAUAUUUCUUGAAGGAAAAAUAAAGUAUGGCACUUGACUCAAAGGUAUUCUUAGUUGCAUUAAAAAAAGUAGUCUAGUGCAUAUUAAUCUAGAAGGAAACUUACUAUCGAGGAUAUUUAAAAUUUUAAAUAGAACUACUUUCACGACAUCCGGUAUAUAAUUAGCUUUCCAAAGCAUCUUAAAUUACUAGAAAACGAAUAUCAGUUGAGGAAAAAAUGACUGAUUUGUUGAAGAUGUCAGUGCUGUUGAACUUUCAGUAUUUAUGAAAUUGCCAUUCCAUGGGAUAUUUAUUCAAUGAUGAUUUUCCUUUGUUUUUGGUCGAAUUUUCAUGUUUAUUUCUUCUACUAUUUAUUUGAUAUUUAUCUUUUUUUUUCUUCUUCAGAUAAACUAUAUCCUAAGUGAUUAAAAAAAAAGUCUAUUGGUUUCAGGAUAUCUAUCUAAUAAAUACCCUAGCUAUGUAUUUAGUUUUGAUCAUUGAAAUCAAUAUAACUAUCUACUGAGGAUUUUCUUUCAAAUUUCUCUUGUGUGGUAAGGAGCGCUGUUUAAGGCUCAUAUAAGAUGCUGCAGUUAGGAAAGGAGUUAUCAGUGAGAUGCCUGUGUUCUUCAACCAAGCCUUGUGAAGAUUGAAAGUGGGAUGCUGAAGGUUCAAUGCGAGAGGAGGCACAAGACCUUCCAUUUAUCCGUUCUAAUUCUAUACUCCCUUUUAGUUUCAGAUAGUUAUCCUUUUCUUCUAGUUCUUGUUUUAAAUUCAAUCUUGCUUCUAGCUUUGAUUUGCUUCUACUUCAAAUUAUAUUAAUAUUGUACUACUAUCAGCUAGGCUUCAAUUGGUCAAUGAAUCAAUAGUAUAAGAAAAUAAUAUUAUUGGUGAGCCCCACCGCUACGUCGGGUGCUAAGUCACCAUCCUCGACCAGCCCCUCAUCCUCAUGAAGCUCAACAACCUCAUCUUCAACAUCACCAGUGUUUUUUUUUUUUUUAAUUCUCUAUUUCUCCUCAUCUCUUCCCAUACAAUCCUCCUUGCACUUCACCCCUUGCCAUCCUUUUUUUUUUUUAAUUUUGCCAGCUCACCAUGGGCAGCAUCCCACUAUUCCCAGCACACUAAAUCUCAAGCCCACUCUAAAUUUAUUUUAUUAUUGAAAAGAAUUACUAGAAGUGAUGAAAACUGAAUGUAGGAAAAAUAAUUUUAUAAAAUUAAAAACUGAAAAACUAGAAAUGAUGUCAAAUGAAAUCUAAUUAAACUCAGUUUUUAUUUUUUCUUCCUAAUCUGGGAACUAACUUAUUCCACGUGCCCCCCCCCCCCCCCCAAAAAAAAAAAAAACGAAAAGGCAAAAUAAGAUACAUUUACUCUUUCUUCCCAAAUUUGGCCUUAAAUUUAUUUUUGGUACCUUUGUCCCCAUAACCAACGGUCUCCUGAAUACAUAGGAAUGAACCAAAACUAAAGGCGAUGAGCAAACAACCCCCCUCUUACUAUUGAGGUGGCAGCACGAUGGAAAUAAGGCUCUGAUUCCAUCGAAAUGGUCUAGAUUCGAAACAUGCGGACGUCGAUUAAAUGCGGAGACUGGAUGCCUCCCACCUGUUUUGUCCGAUGAAGUCGCUAUCUGGUCUGUCGUUACUUAGAUGGUGCUGGUAUGGCGUACUCACAUAGAGAUAGAGCUGCCACGCUGUUGGGGCUCUACUACGGAUAGAGAGGAUAUAAGUAAAAAAUAUUCAGCUGGUAUCGAACACUCUCCAAACAGAAGGGGCUCAGUAAGUACUGCUAUGCGAGUGAGGUUCUUCUUAUCCCUUUCCUCCCUUCUUUCUUUCUUUUUCCUAAGACCAAAAAAAAAAAAAAACUUGCCCAACCUCCAUAUCCACAUACGCAGUUCAAAUUCCAGGACCUCAUCCACCUAUUUCUUUUUUGGUACAACCCAUUAACCUAUAUCUAACCCACCGUUCGUACUAUUUUUGGGCGGAGGUCCCAAUAUCGCGUACCUGCUACAAACUCCAGGACCACAGCUUCGCUCCCCAGUCCCCGCCGAACUCGAGAAUCUCGAGGCAAAACCCCACAUCACCACCGUCCAAAAAGUCGAGUAAUUCGAGUUCCCUCGCCGGCCUCCUCUUCUCGCAUAAAAACGCUAUCGAGCAGUGAGCGUCUCGUAAAGGAGUUCCUUCUCUCUCUCUCUCGUGGAGAUGGAGACCAUGGCGGCGGCGAUAGGGGUGUCGGUGCCGGUGCUGCGCUUCUUGCUCUGCUUUGUGUCGACGAUUCCGGUGAGCUUCGCGUGGAGGCUGGUUCCGGGAACCCUACCGAAGCAUCUCUAUGCCGCGGUCACUGGGGCGGUUCUCUCGUAUCUCUCCUUCGGUUUCUCCUCCAACCUCCACUUCCUCAUCCCCAUGGGGCUGGCGUACGCCUCCAUGCGCCUGUUCCGACGCCACUGCGGCAUCAUCACCUUCUUCAUUGGGUUUGGCUACCUCAUCGGAUGGUAAUUGGCCUUGGAUUAUGUUUUGUUUUCUUAGGUUUCUUUUUUUAGCUGGAUUUGCUGUUUUCUUCGUAGAAGUCCUUUGUGAUGCCAAGUUUUGAUUUUUUUAAUGCAAAAUUGGAUGAAUUGAAAGAUUCAUGUGGAAAAUUUCUUGGUAGGUUGUUUUGGCUUGCAUGCAGGAGUGCUCGAAAAUGAUUGUUUUCAUGUUUUUUCUUAGACUUUUUGCUGGAUUUGCCGUUGUUUUUCUUCGUAGAGGCCUUUUGUGGUGCGAGCUUUUGUUUUUUAUGCGAAAUUGGAUGAGAUGAUUAUGUGGAAAAUUGCUUGGUAGGUUGUUUUGGCUUGCAUGCAGGAGUGCUCUAAAAUGAUUAUUUUUAGUUCUUGACAAAUUGAAGGUCAUACUCGUAGCAAAGUGUCGAAGGUACUUGAGCUCUGAAGUGUCAUUGAAGUGCUGAUUCUUUAUAUUUUCCAUUCAAUGGUAAUUUAUCUAUUCCAGAUCUCGAAGUUAUGUUGGUGUCUUGGAGGAUGGGAUGAAUUGUGAUAAAGCGUGGUGAUGAAUAGAAAUUUAUGGUGUUGUGUGUAACUUGAGAAGCAGGAUUCUUUUACGUGGUGUGAAAUGUCAUAUUGGCAGGCAGGUGGGGUCAUACUGAUCUUUCAUGCUAAAUGGGAAAAUAUCAUUGUCUUGAUUAAAAGCAUUCAGCUGUAUGCCAUCAUAGCAUUCAUUUAUGAUAUUUUUCUUUUUAACAAGACCCAGGUGGUUAGUUGGAUGCUAUAAAUUCAAGCGUAUCUCUACUAGCUAAAGACGAUUCCUAUUUUGAAGAUUUCUUAUUGUGUGUCCUAGAGCAACUUGGUGAAGUUGUCACUUUUGUUAUAUUCUUGAUUUAGGCUCUUCUGCGUAUAUCAAGAAGUUGACAGUUUUAAUCUUCUAACCAUCUAAUUUGCAAUGAUUUACAGCAUUAAUACUGCAUAGAAGUUGUCGGUUUGUUGCUGAUAUUGGUAUAGUAGCUCAAUCUUAUAUAAUCAGUAGAGAGGAGAGACUAGUGUAGUCUGACCCUGUUCAAAGGAAACAAUAAAAAAAUAAGGAAAAAAGAUGAAUAAUUCUAACAUGUGAACUAAGUAGGCCUCUUUUAACUGAAUGUAGACUUUAAUUUUGAGUGGAACUUGUGAUAUUACUGGAGAUACUAAUGCCAAAAAUGUCAAUAAUAGUUAAAUUUAGGUACCUCUGAGCAAUGGUUUUUUCUUUCUUCCUAAUUGUUGACUCUUUUUGAUGGUUGCUCAAUAUAAAAGGGAUUAAGUGUCAAGUGUUAAAAGAAUACGUCUAAACAUUUAUAUUUGAAUGCACUGUUUCAAUAUUUCAUAUGAUUCAAUAAGAUUCGCCACAUUCAUUUCAGACUUCAUUUAUGCAUGUAUAUCAACUUCAUGUUAGUGCUCUACUUCAUCAUCUGUUGUAGUGAUAUCUAGUAGAGGAUACAAUUUGGCUCAUCAGACUACGUCAUUUGGAUAAUAUGGAUGGCCAAAACUGGAGAUUUUCUUAGCAAUGCACUGCUAACAUUUUGUAGUCCAGUGACAUUUAUAAUUUGACCAUAUUGAAAUGACAUAUCUCUCUGCUUCGAUGGUCUUUAGCUCAUUCUAAUCAAUUGCAAUAAAAUUUGUUUUCUAGAAUGACAAGUUUCUUGUACUCAUCCUUUCUUAUGGCCCACGUGCUGAAACUUGCUAUUUCCUAACCUCAGCUUAUAUUUGAUCAUCCUAAAAUGCUAUUAUAAUCUCUUUAUGGAACUUGGAAACAACAAAGUCUUCGAACUUAUGGAAGCUGCAAGAACAUUAUACUCGCUGCAGUGACAUCUAGGUCCUCUUACAAUCCUUGCUUGUUAUCAGUGAAAUCCUUUGUGCAUAAGGAUAGUUAGAAUUUAUAUACUUGAUGAGGAACUGCUGUAUUUUGUACAAAUAUAAAUAUUGAUACUGGAUAUCAUUGUUUGGUUAUGACUCCGUUAGGAGUUUAGUAGUAAGAUGCAUAUGCUAAUACUACCAAAAUCUUUUUAUGAUAGUGAUGUUAGCAAGCUGCAGGGUGAUCUAAGUUUGAUGACUCCUUGAUGAGUGCCGGUUUUGCUCUUCCUUCCCAUUAACCCCAUAAUGACUUUACUGACAUGACUAACUUCAAAAUGCAUUAUUGCCUUUACAUAGAUCUCUUCCUUCAUCUAACAUCAUUCAUAAGGACAGCUUACUUAUUUUGGAGACCUAAAUUUGAACACCAAAUUGUGAAACUUAUCCUAUGCUUUUCUAGUGAAUCUUAUUCAAUUCUUAGUCCAGAUCAAACCAGUAGAAUGCUAGUGCUGUCCAACAGGCAUUGCUGAAGUAGAGGAUUUACAUGAUGUAGGGGUGAGGGUGAAGUGAAAUUAUGUAGUAGAUGCAAGCAUGAAAUCUGAAGAGACAAGUAGCAUUUCGUUACUGGAGAUAAUGGUCAAGUUGUGCUGGACUUUACAAUCAGAAUUUCUUACAAGAAGGUAGGGUAGAAUAACGCUAACAUGUGAUAUAAGGCAAGUUCAAUGCAAAGGUUAGGUAAAAGACAGCAAACAACACAAUGGAUGUUGAAGUUUGAAAUGGAGUUGAUGAUGGGACAUUAUUAGAUUCAUGCAGUCAGUAUCAUACCUAAAGAAGCCCUAAUCAGAAAGAAAGACAGUAGGUGCUAAAUAAGAGUGUUUGACGAUAAGUCAGAAAAGAAUGCACUAAAGAUUGAAGGACUACCGACAAACCCAUACAUGUGCACUAUCCAAUGGCUAGACUGUGGUGUUGCAUGGACAUGGACACAGGAGUCAAAUUCGGACAUGUAUCCAAGUAUCUGACUCAACAAGAGGAAAAAAUAGAGAGACGGGGAUAUGUAGGAUAUAUAUAGAUAAUUAUAUACACACACACACACACACACACACACACACACACACA